rnacentral:rRNA from 1 species
CCCUUAGAUGUUCUGGGCUGCACGCGCGCUACACUGACACACGCAGCGAGUCUCCUGCCCUGACAGGGUCGGGUAAUCAUUUGAGUGUGUGUCGUGAUGGGGAUAGAGUAUUGCAAUUAUUGCUCUUGAACGAGGAAUUCCUAGUAAGCACAAGUCAGCAGCUUGUGCUGAUUACGUCCCUGCCCUUUGUACACACCGCCCGUCGCUCCUACCGAGGGGGUGAUCCGGUGAAUGAUUCGGACUCUGGUGCUUCUAGCUGCUAGAUGCGCCGGAGGAAGUUUUGUGAACCUUAUCACUUGGAGGAAGGAGAAGUCGUAACA